GGCCUUGUGGCUCAGUGGUAGAGCACUUGCCUAGCAUGUAUGAGGUGCCUGGGAUCAAUUCUCAGCACCA
rnacentral:tRNA from 1 species